GUUCCCUUCACAAACAGUGUUUUGCUGGUGUAAAACAGAGAGGAGGAAGGCUCUGUGGUGGUGAUCUACUUCUGUGAAUCUGCUUCAGACAGCUGUGAACAGCCGAGUAAAAGGUCUCCAAUAACUUCCCCUGUGAACUGAACCAUUUCCUUUGGAUAGCAUGCUGGAGAAGUACAGUCCCUCUGCAUGCUUACUUCAUGUGUACUGCCCACGGCUACUGCUCUGCCUAACUGGGAACCAUCUCCCAAUUGUGGUGUGUGACAGUUCAGCUUGGACUUACCAAUUCUACGAGGGUUAAAAAUUAAACCAGCUAAUCAAGAUCUGAAGCAGCACUGGAUUUAAGAGACUAGCAAGUGGUCCAGCCUUGAGUUAAUUCAUUAUAAAUAUCUCUAGAAGAGCUUGUCAAAAGGAAACAUGAAGCAGCUGGAAAGAGACAUCCUUACAGUGAAUGCCAAAGUCAUUUGCAUCCAGCGGACUGGGAGACUCAAGGCUUUGGACAGACGAUGUGGGUGAAAGAAAUAAAAAUCUGAAUACAGAGGAGAAAGCACCAGUUCCCACUGAGUGAUUACAGAGGAAACAAUCUUACCACUAUAGGGACCUAAUUAGAGACUCAGUCUCACAACAGUCAAAUAACUCCUCCAGGACAGUGAGAAACCCAAACUAGCUACAACGGUCUGUUCAGGCCUGCAGAGUUUGGAAGCUCUGCCGCAUCGGAGUUCCUGAGGGAGAGCAGGUUUGUGAGCUGCAAGCCAGGUCAAGAGGAUUGGAUCUUCCACGGAGGAAUUGUUGACAUUGGCCCAAAAAUGUCAUUGGUAAGGUGCCGAGAGCCAGAAGAGCCAGCUCAGCUCCCAGGUCCUCGAGGAAACGCGCAGGACUGUCAAGAAAAGAAAAAGCACCCCAAGGAUUUUGGCCCCGGAGUGGGAGUUUUCAGCACAUGGCCUGCCUCCAGGAGCUCAGGAGAAGGUGGGUUAGAGAGGAGGCUUCUUGUCAGCAGGCAGGAACCCAAGGGAUCUGCUGUGCCACCGGCAGAGCUGCAGGGGCUCGCGGGGUGGGAUGAGAAUGUGCAAAUGUCAGGAGGGACCCCUGACCUCCAGAAACACCAGUAACUGGUGUGUAACCUCGUGAAGACAUGGUUUUGGAGGGCAACCACCCUUCACCCUACUGUUUGUGAUGUAUUCAUCUGAGUUAUACUCCUGUGUCAGACUCUCCUUGGCCCUCUGUCUUCUGUGGGGUAAAAUAAAGAACUGGCAGAGAACUGCUCA
rnacentral:lncRNA from 1 species